rnacentral:rRNA from 1 species
UGGGGAAUAUUGCACAAUGGGCGCAAGCCUGAUGCAGCGACGCCGCGUGAAGGAAGAAGGUCUUCGGAUUGUAAACUUCUAUCAGCAGGGAAGAAAAAUGACGGUACCUGACUAAGAAGCCCCGGCUAACUCCGUGCCAGCAGCCGCGGUAAUACGGAGGAUGCGAGCGUUAUCCGGAUUUAUUGGGUUUAAAGGGUGCGCAGGCGGCGCGCCAAGUCAGCGGUCAAAGUUCCGGGCUCAACCCGGUGUCGCCGUUGAAACUGGCGUGCUCGAGUGCGUGCGAGGAAGGCGGAAUGCGUUGUGUAGCGGUGAAAUGCAUAGAUAUGACGCAGAACUCCGAUUGCGAAGGCAGCUUUCCAGCGCGCUACUGACGCUGAGGCACGAAAGCGUGGGGAUCGAACAGGAUUAGAUACCCUGGUAGU